rnacentral:rRNA from 1 species
UGGGGAAUUUUGCGCAAUGCUCGUAAGAGUGACGCAGCGACGCCGCGUGAAUGACGAAGGCCUUCGGGUCGUAAAGUUCUUUCGACAGGGAAGAAAAUGCCUAUAAGUAACUGUGUAUGUAUUGACGGUACCUGUAUAAGCAGCCCCGGCUAACUCCGUGCCAGCAGCCGCGGUAAUACGGAGGGGGCGAGCGUUGUUCGGAGUGACUGGGCGUAAAGAGCACGUAGGCGGUGUUGUAAGUCAUUAGUCAAAGACUAGAGCUCAACUUUAGUAAGGCUAGUGA